rnacentral:rRNA from 1 species
GACGAACGCUGGCGGCGUGCCUAACACAUGCAAGUCGUGCGGUCUCGCCUUAAGCGAAAGGCCUUCGGGCUUUGAAGCAAAGGCGAGAUAGCGGCGGACGGGUGAGUAACGCGUGGCUUAUCUGUCCCAGGGAGGGGGAUAACGUCUGGAAACGGGCGCUAAUACCCCAUAUGCCGAAAGGUAAAAAGGAGAAAUCCGCCCUGGGGUGAGGCCGCGUCCUAUCAGCUCGUUGGUGAGGUAACGGCCCACCAAGGCUAUGACGGGUAGCCGGCCUGAGAGGGCGGCUGGCCACACUGGGAUUGAGAUACGGCCCAGACUCCUACGGGAGGCAGCAGUGGGGAAUAUUGGGCAAUGGGGGAAACCCUGACCCAGCGACGCCGCGUGGAGGAAGGAGCCCUUCGGGGUGUAAACUCCUGUUGUAAGGGAAGAAGACAGUGACGGUACCUUACGAGGAAGCCCCGGCAAACUACGUG